UUUUCUUCACCUUGUGUUGUUCCUAUAUAUUCCCAGAGUUCUACAAACGCAAAACUGAAAAUCUAGUGAAAUUUCAAUAAGAAAACUGAAUUUUGAAUUGAAGGGUUGCUGUUAAUUAGUUGCAUCAUGGAAGCUUGUUGUGGAGCUGCGGUUAUGAGUUCUCUUCAGCAGCCUGUUUGGGUUAAAGGGUCAGCUUUUCCUUCAAAAGGGGUUGCUGGUAUUAAUGUAAAUUCGAGUCGGGUAAAGUUAUGCUCUGUCAAGCCCUGUAGAGCAACUCCAACUGAAUGGAGCUUGAUAACAGAAAGGCCUACUUCUUCUGCUCCUGAAGGUGCUGGGAGCAGCUUUGAAGACUAUGGGUUGCAUGAAGCUGAUCCUGAUGUUCGUACUAUUAUUGACAAAGAGAAGCAGCGUCAGUUUAGGAGCUUAGAACUUAUUGCCUCUGAGAAUUUCACAUCUCGAGCAGUGAUGGAAGCAGUUGGUUCUUGCCUUACCAACAAAUAUUCUGAAGGGCUUCCAGGCAAAAGAUAUUAUGGUGGGAAUGAAUACAUCGAUGAGUUGGAAACUCUCUGUCAAGAAAGAGCAUUGGCUGCCUUUAGCUUAGAUGGAAAACAAUGGGGUGUGAAUGUUCAACCAUUAUCUGGCUCUCCGGCAAAUUUUGCAGUUUACACAGCGGUUCUUAAUCCACACGACCGGAUUAUGGGAUUGGACUUACCUCAUGGUGGCCACUUGUCCCAUGGAUUUAUGACUCCAAAAAGACGGGUUUCAGGCACCUCGAUUUACUUUGAAUCCAUGCCUUAUCGACUUGAUGAAUCUACAGGUAUUCUCGAUUAUGAAAUGCUUGAGAAAACAGCGAAUCUUUUUCGCCCAAAGCUUAUUAUUGCUGGUGCAAGUGCAUAUCCGCGUGAUUUUGAUUAUCCUCGUUUGAGAAAGAUAGCAGAUGCUGUUGGAGCUUUCCUAAUGAUGGAUAUGGCUCAUAUCAGUGGGCUUGUAGCUGCUUCUGUACUUGCUAAUCCAUUUGAAUACUGUGACAUUGUUACUACUACUACUCACAAGUCUCUUAGAGGUCCUAGAGGUGGAAUGAUCUUCUUCAAAAAAGAUCCAGUUCUGGGAAUGGAUCUUGAAUCUGCCAUAAACAAUGCUGUUUUUCCUGGUUUGCAGGGUGGUCCUCAUAAUCACACAAUUGGAGGACUAGCUGUUUGCUUGAAGCAUGCCAAAUCACCUGAAUUUAAGGUUUAUCAGAACCAGGUGGUUGCCAACUGUAGAGCUCUUGCAAGCCGAUUAAUGGAAUUAGGCUACAAGCUGGUCUCAGGAGGGAGCGACAAUCAUUUGGUUCUUGUGGAUUUGCGGCCCAUGGGAAUUGAUGGUGCUAGAGUGGAGAAAAUACUUGACAUGGCAUCAAUCACGCUCAAUAAGAAUUCAGUAGCCGGUGAUAAAAGUGCACUAGUGCCUGGUGGUAUACGCAUAGGCUCACCUGCAAUGACAACUCGAGGUUUCUCAGAGAAGGAAUUUGUAACCGUUGCAGACCUUAUUAACGAGGGUGUGCAGAUAACUCUUGAGGCCAAGAACUUAGUCUCUGGUUCUAAACUCCAAGACUUCAUGAAGUUUGUUACUUCACCGGAGUUUCCUUUGAUCGAUAAGGUGCUGGAUCUACAAAGAAGAGUUGAAGCUUUGACAAUCCAAUAUCCAUUGCCUGGCUUGUGAUGAAACACUGGUGGAGAUUUUUCAGUAGCAAACUGGUUGUAUGAAUAGUAUAACAGGCAGAUUCUUGACAGUUGAUAAUGUAGGAUGAUUGCAUGCAAAUGCUGUAUUUCCAUCCCCACCUCCCUUUGGGAUUUAAAAUGGAAAAAAGUGAUCCAAAAUUUU
rnacentral:misc_RNA from 1 species